rnacentral:lncRNA from 1 species
AAGGCUACAUGAGGACAUAACCAGGAAGAGGGCCCUCGCUAAGAACACAACCAUGCUGACACCCUGAUCCCAGACUUCUAGCCUCCAGAACUGAAGAUUAGCCCUGAGCUAACAUCGGCUGCCAAUAAUCCUCCUCUUUCUGCUGAGGAAGACUGGCCCUGAGCUAACAUCCGUGCCCAUCUUCCUCCACUUUAUAUGCAGGAUGCCUACCAUAGCAUGGCUUGCCAAGCGGUGGGAUCUGAACUGACAAACCCCAGGCCGCCAAAGCGGAACACGUGCACUUAACAGCUGUGCCACCGGGCUGACCCCCUAAGUCUAUCUUUGAUUACACUGUGCCACUUUACACGUAGUGCAGGAUGGACCCCCUGGGUGUGGACUCACUAGAUCCUAAAAGGCAAAGGGCAACACUUGGACGAAGAAAGCGAACUUUCCUAGAAGCCACAGCAGAUUUCCACUUACAUCUCAUUGGCCACAACAGGGUCAAAUGGCCAUUCCUGACUAGAAGGUAGGAAGGGAGAAAAAGUCGGAUGAGCCAACAAAUGGCGUCCAUCCCUAUGGCUAUACAAUUUUCCUACAUCCCU